GCUAUACAUGCAGUCGAGCGGACAGAUGGGAGCUUGCUCCCUGAUGUUAGCGGCGGACGGGUGAGUAACACGUGGGUAACCUGCCUGUAAGACUGGGAUAACUCCGGGAAACCGGGGCUAAUACCGGAUGGUUGUUUGAACCGCAUGGUUCAAACAUAAAAGGUGGCUUCGGCUACCACUUACAGAUGGACCCGCGGCGCAUUAGCUAGUUGGUGAGGUAACGGCUCACCAAGGCAACGAUGCGUAGCCGACCUGAGAGGGUGAUCGGCCACACUGGGACUGAGACACGGCCCAGACUCCUACGGGAGGCAGCAGUAGGGAAUCUUCCGCAAUGGACGAAAGUCUGACGGAGCAACGCCGCGUGAGUGAUGAAGGUUUUCGGAUCGUAAAGCUCUGUUGUUAGGGAAGAACAAGUACCGUUCGAAUAGGGCGGUACCUUGACGGUACCUAACCAGAAAGCCACGGCUAACUACGUGCCAGCAGCCGCGGUAAUACGUAGGUGGCAAGCGUUGUCCGGAAUUAUUGGGCGUAAAGGGCUCGCAGGCGGUUUCUUAAGUCUGAUGUGAAAGCCCCCGGCUCAACCGGGGAGGGUCAUUGGAAACUGGGGAACUUGAGUGCAGAAGAGGAGAGUGGAAUUCCACGUGUAGCGGUGAAAUGCGUAGAGAUGUGGAGGAACACCAGUGGCGAAGGCGACUCUCUGGUCUGUAACUGACGCUGAGGAGCGAAAGCGUGGGGAGCGAACAGGAUUAGAUACCCUGGUAGUCCACGCCGUAAACGAUGAGUGCUAAGUGUUAGGGGGUUUCCGCCCCUUAGUGCUGCAGCUAACGCAUUAAGCACUCCGCCUGGGGAGUACGGUCGCAAGACUGAAACUCAAAGGAAUUGACGGGAGCCCGCACAAUCGGUGGAGCAUGUGGUUUAAUUCGAAGCAACGCGAAGAACCUUACCAGGUCUUGACAUCCUCUGACAAUCCUAGAGAUAGGACGUCCCCUUCGGGGGCAGAGUGACAGGUGGUGCAUGGUUGUCGUCAGCUCGUGUCGUGAGAUGUUGGGUUAAGUCCCGCAACGAGCGCAACCCUUGAUCUUAGUUGCCAGCAUUCAGUUGGGCACUCUAAGGUGACUGCCGGUGACAAACCGGAGGAAGGUGGGGAUGACGUCAAAUCAUCAUGCCCCUUAUGACCUGGGCUACACACGUGCUACAAUGGACAGAACAAAGGGCAGCGAAACCGCGAGGUUAAGCCAAUCCCACAAAUCUGUUCUCAGUUCGGAUCGCAGUCUGCAACUCGACUGCGUGAAGCUGGAAUCGCUAGUAAUCGCGGAUCAGCAUGCCGCGGUGAAUACGUUCCCGGGCCUUGUACACACCGCCCGUCACACCACGAGAGUUUGUAACACCCGAAGUCGGUGAGGUAACCUUUUAGGAGCCAGCCGCCGAAGGUGGGACAGAUGAUUGGGGUGAAGUCGUAACA
rnacentral:rRNA from 1 species